GUGAGGAAUAUUGCGCAAUGGAGGCAACUCUGACGCAGCCAUGCCGCGUGCAGGAAGAAGGCGCUACGCGUUGUAAACUGCUUUUAACCGGGAAGAAACCCCAGGACGUGUCCUGGGUUGACGGUACCGGAGGAAUAAGCACCGGCUAACUUCGUGCCAGCAGCCGCGGUAAUACGAAGGGUGCAAGCGUUAUCCGGAUUCAUUGGGUUUAAAGGGUGCGUAGGCGGAGCGUUAAGUCAGUGGUGAAAUCCUGCAGCUUAACUGUAGACUUGCCAUUGAUACUGGCGCUCUUGAGUGCGCUUGAGGUGGGCGGAAUGUGCCGUGUAGCGGUGAAAUGCUUAGAUAUGGCACAGAACACCAAUUGCGAAGGCAGCUCACUAAGGCGAUACUGACGCUGAGGCACGAAAGCGUGGGGAUCGAACAGGAUUAGAAACCCUAGUAGUCC
rnacentral:rRNA from 1 species